CAGAGGUCCCGAGCGUUGUUCGGAUUCACUGGGCGUAAAGGGUGCGUAGGUGGUGAGGUAAGUCGGAUGUGAAAUCUCCGGGCUCAACCCGGAAAUGGCAUUGGAAAACUACCUUGCUGGAGGAUUUGAGGGGGGAUUGGAAUACUUGGUGUAGCAGUGAAAUGCGUAGAUAUCAAGUGGAACACCAGUGGCGAAGGCGAAUCCCUGGAAGAUACCUGACACUGAGGCACGAAAGCUAGGGGAGCAAACAGGAUUAGAUACCCUGGUAGUCCUAGCCCUAAACGGUGCUUGCUUGCUGUAAGAGGAAUCGACCCCUCUAGUGGCGGAGCUAACGCGUUAAGCAAGCCGCCUGGGAAGUACGGUCGCAAGAUUA
rnacentral:rRNA from 1 species